GACGGAGGAUGCAAGCGUUAUCCGGAAUGAUUGGGCGUAAAGCGUCCGCAGGUGGCAGUUCAAGUCUGCUGUCAAAGACCGGGGCUUAACUUCGGAAAGGCAGUGGAAACUGAACAGCUAGAGUAUGGUAGGGGCAGAGGGACUUCCUGGUGUAGCGGUGAAAUGCGUAGAGAUCAGGAAGAACAUCGGUGGCGAAGGCGCUCUGCUGGACCAUAACUGACACUCAGGGACGAAAGCUAGGGGAGCGAAUGGG
rnacentral:rRNA from 1 species